UGAGAGGAUGAUCAGUCACACUGGAACUGAGACACGGUCCAGACUCCUACGGGAGGCAGCAGUGGGGAAUAUUACACAAUGGAGGAAACUCUGAUGUAGCAACGCCGCGUGGAGGAUGACACAUUUCGGUGCGUAAACUCCUUUUAUAUGGGAAGAUAAUGACGGUACCAUAUGAAUAAGCACCGGCUAACUCCGUGCCAGCAGCCGCGGUAAUACGGAGGGUGCAAGCGUUACUCGGAAUCACUGGGCGUAAAGCGCAUGUAGGCGGUCUUGUAAGUUGGGUGUGAAAGCCUAUGGCUCAACCAUAGAACUGCACUCAAAACUACUAGACUAGAGUCUGGGAGAGGAAAAUGGAAUUAGUUGUGUAGGGGUAAAAUCCGUAGAGAUAACUAGGAAUACCAAAAGCGAAGGCAAUUUUCUGGAACAGUACUGACGCUCAGAUGCGAAAGCGUGGGUAGCAAACAGGAUUAGAUACCCUGGUAGUCCACGCCCUAAACGAUGAAUGUUAGUCGUCGGGAGGCUCGUCCUUUCGGUGAUGCAGCUAACGCAUUAAACAUUCCGCCUGGGGAGUACGGUCGCAAGAUUAAAACUCAAAGGAAUAGACGGGGACCCGCACAAGUGGUGGAGCAUGUGGUUUAAUUCGAAGAUACGCGAAGAACCUUACCUAGCCUUGACAUUGAUAGAAUCCGAUGGAAACAUUGGAGUGCCAGUUUACUGGAGCUUGAAAACAGGUGCUGCACGGCUGUCGUCAGCUCGUGUCGUGAGAUGUUGGGUUAAGUCCCGCAACGAGCGCAACCCUCGUCCUUAGUUACUAACGGUUCGGCCGAGGACUCUAAGGAGACUGCCUUCGUAAGGAGGAGGAAGGUGAGGACGACGUCAAGUCAUCAUGGCCCUUACGGCUAGGGCGACACACGUGCUACAAUGGAUAGGACAAUGAGACGCAAUACCGCGAGGUGGAGCAAAUCUAUAAACCUAUUCUCAGUUCGGAUUGUAGUCUGCAACUCGACUACAUGAAGCUGGAAUCACUAGUAAUCGUAGAUCAGCCAUGCUACGGUGAAUACGUUCCCGGGUCUUGUACUCACCGCCCGUCACACCAUGGGAGUUGAUUUCACCCGAAGCGGGGAAGCUAAACUGGCUACCCUCCACGGUGGAAUCAGCGACUGGGGUGAAGUGGUAACAAGG
rnacentral:rRNA from 1 species